rnacentral:misc_RNA from 1 species
AUCGCUUACCUACAUGAAGACUGUAUUUUUCCUAGUUUUAUUCCUAGACUUAUUUUCAACAAUUUUCAACCAUUUUAGCUUAGUUGCAUUUAAUGAUUUUGGUCACUGGCAGGAAUCCUGAAAGUCUGAAACAUUCACCUCCUCUCUCUCUCUCUCUCCAUUUAAGUGCAAAAUUAUAAUCAGAAUAGAGAGACAAAAUCUCAACAACAAAUUAUAAAUGAAAAAUUAAACGAACAACAAAUUUCUCUACAAGUUAAAUUCAGCUCCCAUGAUUACAUAAAUUUUCAGCUUCUUCACUGUAUUCUUCCUUCCUAUUUCAUGG